CUGUUUCGUAUCAGACCAUGUUCUUGUUUGUAAACCAACCAACCUACUCCCCCCAAAAAAACAGGAGCAGCUGAAAAAGAUGCUUACCUAAGCUGUUUCCUCCACAACCCUGCAAGAUCCGUCUGGCUCGCUUUUUGGCAUCUUCUGGAAAACUCGGGCUGUCCAACAGGUUUGGAUGUUCAGCAAGCUCUUUGUCACGGAGAGUUUCUUGGUUUAAACCCCACAACUACAGUAAUGGCACGUGGUAACUAAGCGUUAUUUUUCUUCUGCUGUUUGAUUUCAAUAAAGGCACUGGAUAGAAAACUACUCCUAAUAGCUUUAAAUGGUAAAGUGUUGUUAAUGAUAUUUAGGAUUCUUUGAGGACACUAAGUAAAUGGAACCCAGAGUACGAAAACUAUGGCUUUUUUUAGGCAAAAAGAGCAAACCUUUUCUGUAUUCUGUGUUGUAUAAGUCUGGAGGAUGGUUGUUCCCUAUGGAAUACUGCUGAUGGCAGCAGUUCAGAAUAUAACGAGCAUCUUCAGAGGAAUUACUGUCGCUACUGUUCUUGAAACUUUAAGAUUUGGUCCAAAGCUCAGUGCAGUCAGUGGAAAAAGUGCCCGUUCAGUGACUUCAUACCUUAAUGUUUACCAGCUCUCAUUCUCUCAUGAUAAGCAAAAAAAAAAAAAAAAGUACCCAACUCCCUACCCUAAAAACAAACUCAAAAUGAAAUGCGUAAAAUAGUCUAUUGAAUUGUCUUUUUAAGAAUUAAUUGCAAAGGUGCU